UGCCAGCAGCCGCGGUAAUACGGAGGGUCCAAGCGUUAUCCGGAUUCAUUGGGUUUAAAGGGUGCGCAGGCGGAAAAAUAAGUCAGUGGUGAAAGCCUACAGCUCAACUGUAGAAUUGCCAUUGAUACUGUUUUUCUUGAGUCUGGUUGAAGUAGGCGGAAUACGGCAUGUAGCGGUGAAAUGCAUAGAUAUGCCGUAGAACACCGAUCGCGAAGGCAGCUUACUAAACCAGUACUGACGCUCAGGCACGAAAGCGUGGGGAGCGAACAGGAUUAGAUA
rnacentral:rRNA from 1 species